rnacentral:rRNA from 1 species
ACGCUCGACACCUACGGGAGCAGCAGGUGGGGAAUAUUGCACAAGUGGGGGAAACCCUGAUGCAGCGACGCCGCGUGAGCGAAGAAGUAUUUCGGUAUGUAAAGCUCUAUCAGCAGGGAAGAAACUGACGGUACCUGACUAAGAAGCACCGGCUAAAUACGUACCACGCAGCCGCGGUAAUCUGAGCGGGCUGGCAAGGC